rnacentral:lncRNA from 1 species
CUGCAAUGCCACUAACAUGCUCUUCAAUGGGCCUUUCCGGGUAGGUAGUCUGCGCAAGCGCGCCGGCGUGGACGAGGCACGCGCCAUGAUUUUUGGUGGCCAAAACGCGACGACAGGUGCUGACCAAGCGACAUCUGGUGUAGCAAACUUGCAAAUGUUUCCCCCCAAAGAAAGGCGCGAAUGCAG